rnacentral:rRNA from 1 species
UUACCUACGGGGGGCAGCAGUAGGGAAUCUUCCACAAUGGGCGAAAGCCUGAUGGAGCAACGCCGCGUGGGUGAAGAAGGUCUUCGGAUCGUAAAACCCUGUUGUUAGAGAAGAAAGUGCGUGAGAGUAACUGUUCACGUUUCGACGGUAUCUAACCAGAAAGCCACGGCUAACUACGUGCCAGCAGCCGCGAUAAUACGUAGGUGGCAAGCGUUAUCCGGAUUUAUUGGGCGUAAAGGGAACGCAGGCGGUCUUUUAAGUCUGAUGUGAAAACCCGGGGUCCAACCCCGGGA